rnacentral:rRNA from 1 species
AUACGGAGGAUCCGAGCGUUAUCCGGAUUUAUUGGGUUUAAAGGGUGCGCAGGCGGCCAUUUAAGUCAGCGGUUAAAUCGUGGGGCUCAACCCCAUUCUGCCGUUGAUACUGGGUGGCUUGAUUGCGGUCGAGGUUGGCGGAAUUCGUUGUGUAGCGGUGAAAUGCAUAGAUAUGACGAAGAACACCGAUUGCGUAGGCAGCUGACCAGGCCGCAAAUGACGCUCAUGCACGAAAGUGCGGGGAUCGAACAGGAUUAGAUACCCUGGUAGUCCGCACAGUAAACGAUGAAUACUUGUUUUCGGCGAUAUAAUGUCGGAGGCAAAGCGAAAGCGAUAAGUAUUCCACCUGGGGAGUACGCCGGCAACGGUGAAACUCAAAUGAAUUGACGGGG